UACGUAGGUGGCAAGCGUUAUCCGGAUUUAUUGGGCGUAAAGGGAACGCAGGCGGUCUUUUAAGUCUGAUGUGAAAGCCUUCGGCUUAACCGGAGUAGUGCAUUGGAAACUGGGAGACUUGAGUGCAGAAGAGGAGAGUGGAACUCCAUGUGUAGCGGUGAAAUGCGUAGAUAUAUGGAAGAACACCAGUGGCGAAAGCGGCUCUCUGGUCUGUAACUGACGCUGAGGUUCGAAAGCGUGGGUAGCAAACUGG
rnacentral:rRNA from 1 species